UACGAAGGGGGCGAGCGUUGUUCGGAAUUACUGGGCGUAAAGCGUGCGCAGGCGGUUCGUUGUGUCGGCGGUGAAAGCCCCGGGCUUAACCUGGGAACGGCCGUUGAAACUGGCGAACUGGAGUGUGGCAGAGGGGGGUGGAAUUCCGCGUGUAGCAGUGAAAUGCGUAGAGAUGCGGAGGAACACCGAUGGCGAAGGCAGCCCCCUGGGCUAACACUGACGCUCAGGCACGAAAGCGUGGGGAGCAAACAGG
rnacentral:rRNA from 1 species